GAGGAUAUGCGAGCUUGUGAGCACGGCGUGCCGGUCGGUGAGGCCUGACCUAGAUCGAGGGUCUCCGCCGCUUCGGAAGACGAACGCCGGCACAGGAUGAGGGGCGGCGGUGGGUGCCACGGUUUAGGGCGAGCUAGGGUUUUGAGGGCAGGACGGGCGGCGGGCGAUCAGGGCAGCACUGGCGUAGCCGUAGCCAGACCAGAGGGUGUAACUUUUUUUUGCUGCCG
rnacentral:lncRNA from 1 species